rnacentral:hammerhead_ribozyme from 1 species
GCAUUACUGACGAGUCCCAAACAGGACGAAACAAAUGUUCAGUGC